UCCGUAGGUGAACCUGCGGAAGGAUCAUUACUGAUUUGCUUAAUUGCACCACAUGUGUUUUUCUUUGAAACAAACUUGCUUUGGCGGUGGGCCCAGCCUGCCGCCAGAGGUCUAAACUUACAACCAAUUUUUUAUCAACUUGUCACACCAGAUUAUUACUAAUAGUCAAAACUUUCAACAACGGAUCUCUUGGUUCUCGCAUCGAUGAAGAACGCAGCGAAAUGCGAUACGUAAUAUGAAUUGCAGAUAUUCGUGAAUCAUCGAAUCUUUGAACGCACAUUGCGCCCUCUGGUAUUCCGGAGGGCAUGCCUGUUUGAGCGUCGUUUCUCCCUCAAACCGCUGGGUUUGGUGUUGAGCAAUACGACUUGGGUUUGCUUGAAAGACGGUAGUGGUAAGGCGGGAUCGCUUUGACAAUGGCUUAGGUCUAACCAAAAACAUUGCUUGCGGCGGUAACGUCUACCACGUAUAUCUUCAAACUUUGACCUCAAAUCAGGUAGGACUACCCGCUGAACUUAAG
rnacentral:rRNA from 1 species